rnacentral:rRNA from 1 species
UCCAGCAGUCCAAGAAUAUUAGUCAAUGCUCGAAAGAGUGAACUAGCUAACUGAAAUCAUUAAAUAAUUGAUAACAUAAGGGAAAAUAAUGAUAUUACCUUAUUAUUAGUGUCGUCCAAAACUGGUGCCAGAAGACUCGGUAAGGCCAGAGACACAAACGUUAAUCGUCUUAAUCAGGCGUAAAGGGUUUGUAGGCGGCUUUUAAAUUUACUUAUAAAACACAAAAUUUAAUAAGUUUAGAAUAAAAGCUAGAAUCAAAUAGAGGAUAUAUCAAAUAAUGCUUAGAGUAGGUCUGAUAUCCUUAAAUACUAAGUAGAAUAUUAAAGGCGAAAGCUUUUUUCCAUUAAUGAUUGACGCUCAGAAACGAAGGUGAGGAUAGGAAAUAGGAUUAGAUACCCAAAAUACCCCUCUCUGUCAACGAUGAAUGGUAGUUAUUAGUAAUAAAUUUAUUAAUGGCAAUGUUAACACGAUAACCAUUCCGCCUUGUGAGUACAACUGCAAAGUUGAAAACAAAAAAAUUAGUCGGUUUCGGAGCAAACGAAGUGAAGCAUGUUAUUUAAUUCGAAUAAUCCGCAA